CGGUUGUUGGCGGCGGCGGAGUUGGAGGAAGAGAAAAGCUUGUCAUCGAUAAAGCCAGUGAGUUCUCGGGUAGUGGUCUUGGGGCCCCGAUGACCUCCGACGCGGCGCUGGGGAGGCCCGCAGUUGAAGCGCAAGGGAUCAUUUUGGAAGACGAGCUGAGAAUUUAGGCCAUUUUGGGAGGGAACUAAGGAGAUUUCCUCCGUUGACAUAAUUUUGGAGGUCAAAUUGCAUGAAAAUGGAACCCUAAUUUUGAUGAA
rnacentral:misc_RNA from 1 species